CAGGCCUAACACAUGCAAGUCGAGCGCCGUAGCAAUACGGAGCGGCAGACGGGAGAGUAACACGUGGGAACGUGCCCUUCAGUUCGGAACAACCCAGGGAAACUUGGGCUAAUACCGGAUACGUCCGUAAGGAGAAAGAUUUAUCGCUGAAGGAUCGACCCGCGUCUGAUUAGCUAGUUGGUGGGGUAAUGGCCCACCAAGGCGACGAUCAGUAGCUGGUCUGAGAGGAUGAUCAGCCUCACUGGGACUGAGACACGGCCCAGACUCCUACGGGAGGCAGCAGUGGGGAAUAUUGGACAAUGGGCGCAAGCCUGAUCCAGCCAUGCCGCGUGGGUGAUGAAGGCCCUAGGGUUGUAAAGCCCUUUCGGCGGGGAAGAUAAUGACGGUACCCGCAGAAGAAGCCCCGGCUAACUUCGUGCCAGCAGCCGCGGUAAUACA
rnacentral:rRNA from 1 species